UACGUAGGGUCCGAGCGUUGUCCGGAAUUACUGGGCGUAAAGAGCUCGUAGGUGGUUUGUCGCGUUGUUCGUGAAAACUCACAGCUCAACUGUGGGCGUGCGGGCGAUACGGGCAGACUUGAGUACUGCAGGGGAGACUGGAAUUCCUGGUGUAGCGGUGGAAUGCGCAGAUAUCAGGAGGAACACCGGUGGCGAAGGCGGGUCUCUGGGCAGUAACUGACGCUGAGGUGCGAAAGCGUGGGGAGCAAACAGG
rnacentral:rRNA from 1 species